ACAAUGAUUUCCCUAGUAACGGCGAGUGAAGAGGAAAGAGCUCAAAGUUGGAACCUGUUUGGCUUAGCUAAACCGGAUUGUAAACUGUAGAAGUGUUUUCCAGACACGCCUGGUAAAAAAGUCCUUUGGAACAGGGCAUCAUAGAGGGUGAGAAUCCCGUCUUUGGCCAGAGCUGUUGUCUUUUGUGAUACAUUUUCAAAGAGUCAGGUUGUUUGGGAAUGCAGCCUAAAUUGGGUGGUAAAUCUCACCUAAAGCUAAAUAUUUGCGAGAGACCGAUAGCGAACAAGUACCGUGAGGGAAAGAUGAAAAGAACUUUGAAAAGAGAGUUAAACAGUAUGUGAAAUUGUUAAAAGGGAACCGUUUGGAGCCAGACUGGCUUGAUCGUAAUCAAUCUAAGCUUCGGCUUGGAUGCACUUGCGGUCUUUGCCUGCCAACGACAAUUUUUUUUGGAGGAAAAAACUAGGAGAAAUGUGGCCCCUCGGGGUGUUAUAGUCUCUUAGAAAAUACUCUGAAUUGGAUUGAGGAACGCAGUGAAUGCCUUUAGGCAAGAUUGCUGGGCGCUUUCGCUGAUAGGUGUUAGAAUUUCUGCCUCGGGUGGUGCUAAUAGUUAAAGGAGAAACUCGUUUAGUAUAUUUUUUAUUCGCUUAGGUUGUUGGCUUAAUGACUCUAAUGAC
rnacentral:rRNA from 1 species